rnacentral:rRNA from 1 species
CGUUGGUGACCAGCGGAGGGAUCAUUACCAGAGUGCCCUAGGCUCUCCAACCCAUUGUGAACUUACCAAACGUUCCCUCGGCGGGCUCAGCGCGCGGUGGCCUCCGGGCCUCCGGGCGUCCGCCGGGGAAAACCAAACCCUGAUUUAAUCGUAUUUCUCUGAGGGGCGAAAGCCCGAAAACAAAAUGAAUCAAAACUUUCAACAACGGAUCUCUUGGCUCUGGCAUCGAUGAAGAACGCAGCGAAAUGCGAUAAGUAAUGUGAAUUGCAGAAUUCAGUGAAUCAUCGAAUCUUUGAACGCACAUUGCGCCCGCCGGCACUCCGGCGGGCAUGCCUGUCCGAGCGUCAUUUCAACCCUCAGGCCCACCCUUCCGGGGGAGCGGGCCUGGUUCUGGGGAUCGGCGGCCCUCGCGGCCCCCGUCCCUCAAAUUCAGUGGCGGUCGCGCCGCAGCCUCCCCUGCGUAGUAGCACAACCUCGCACCGGAGAGCGGAACGACCACGCCGUAAAACACCCAAUUUUUUAAGGUUGACCUCGGAUCAGGUAGGAAUACCCGCUGAACUUAAGCAUAUCAAUAAGCGGAGGAAAAGAAACCAACAGGGAUUGCCUCAGUAACGGCGAGUGAAGCGGCAACAGCUCAAUUUGAAAUCUGGCCUCACGGUCCGAGUUGUAAUUUGUAGAGGAUGCUUUUUGGCGAGGUGCUUUCCGAGUUCCCUGGAACGGGACGCCAUAGAGGGUGAGAGCCCCGUACGGUAAGACCACCGAGCCUCUGUAAAGCUCC